rnacentral:lncRNA from 1 species
CUUAACUUAUCCAAAGCCAAAUAAAUUCUUCAUUUUAAGGUAACGGUCCGUUUCAUUUGGUCGCCUGUAAUGGCGUCGUAUACCGUCAACAUAUGUGCACGUCAGCAUUGUGUUCAUCUGCCAGAACUGUGAUAAAUGAACUUUUUAUCCACUUUUGAAACACACUUACACUUUUUAUAUCUUGGUAGCUUUUAACUUUAUAUUUAGGAUUUUAGUCAUCGGACGUCUGGAUCCUAAGUUAUCAGAGAAACAAUGAUUUAUACGUGAAACUGCUUCAUUAUACUGAGUCCAUGUGCUUUGGAGAGGAGGAGACCUCUGUGGAUCAUUCUAGUGGGAGGAAAUGACUUGUUGUGCGUUUAAAUGACCACACAUCUGUAUUUUCCAAAGGUUACAAUGUUUUUUGAAUUGAUAUUCAAGGCGAUGUCCGACAUGCAGGAUUCGAGCUGCUCGGCCUGAAGUGGCUGCCUGCGUUGACUCGACUUCAGGCUCAGGAACUGAGUCCAUACGAGGUGGGAGAGCAUCUCUGCCACGACAGCCUGGAGAGUCUGAUGUUCUCUCCCGCCCUCGUGUGUGCUCUGAGACGGGCGGAUGCUUUGGCUUCCCUGAGGAAUCUCCUAGCACACGAUUACCCCGGGAGCCUCGGCAUCCUGAUGUCACCGACACCUGAAGUGGCUUUCAGACAGGCCUCCCUUUUCUUCUUCGAGCAUGAGAUGAUCGCUGGUAAAGUUUGUUGAGUGCUGUAUAAAACAUGACAUCAAAUAGCAAGUCUAAAACCUGAUCUCUGGAGGGACGCUCCAGUUCCAAACAUUUGAGCCUCAUCACAAGAUUUAAGGAGAAAUAAGAAGAAAGGCUCAUCACCCCAAACUCUCCUCUCCUCCACAGACCGCAGCGCACACUCACUUCUGAAGUUUCCUGCCCAUGUUAUUACUAAAGAUCCACAGAUGCUGCUCACUGUGGGCCUCCUCAAGCCAAGAACCUGGACUCACACUCUGGCCAAAGCCGUCCACCAACUGCAGCUGAGUGGCCUCACGUUGGUGGGCCUGCGUGUCCAAAGCACAGCGACCUCACUGCUGCCUGCAGCAAGUGAUCCCUCAGACUGGGAGGCUCACGUGGAGGCCACGUGCUCCAGCUCCUCACUGGCUCUCUGCCUCCAGGGGGAGCAUGCUGUGAGGAGGCUGCUGGAUGUGGCUCAUUCAUACAGUGGCCUCUCUGG